UCUCCGUAGGUGAACCUGCGGAGGGAUCAUUACCGAGCGAGGGCCCCCGGCCCGACCUCCAACCCUUUGUGUUUCUGACUGUGUUGCCUCGGGGGCGACCCUGCCGUUCGCGGCGUGGGGCCCCCGGAGCCCAUCAAACCCUGCGUAACUAAGUCGUCGGAGUUUAAACAAAUUAAACAAAACUUUCAACAACGGAUCUCUUGGUUCGGGCAUCGAUGAAGAACGCAGC
rnacentral:misc_RNA from 1 species